CACGUAGGGCGCAAGCGUUGUCCGGAAUUAUUGGGCGUAAAGAGCGUGUAGGCGGCUUGGUAAGUCCGCUGUGAAAGUCCAGGGCUCAACCCUGGAAUGCCGGUGGAAACUGUCAAGCUUGAGUCCGGAAGAGGCGAGUGGAAUUCCUGGUGUAGCGGUGAAAUGCGCAGAUAUCAGGAGGAACACCAAUGGCGAAGGCAGCUCGCUGGGACGGUACUGACGCUGAGACGCGAAAGCGUGGGGAGCAAACAGG
rnacentral:rRNA from 1 species